UUUUGGGCUAUAUAUGAGCAUAUUGACAGACCAUGUGUACUCCAUGUGCUUAGUGGGAACCAUUGGGGUACACCACCCCAUCAAUAUCGUAUGCCUAAAACAAAUAGUAGGUAAAACACUAUUUUCUUUAAAAUUUGCAUUCAAUAUGGGUUGAAUAUUUUCAUUUUUACGUACAAAAAAGUAUUUGGGGCUUAUUUAUUUAUUAUGUCAUUUAAGCACUUGAUAGAGACAAGUUCCUAAGUUUUUCCUCAUCUAGAGAUGCAGGGCUAUGUUAAUGAUUCAGAGCAUUUAGACAAAAUUCAAAAGCUUGGUUAAUUUGGGACAUUUACCAUCAACCAUAUACUUACUUUAUAUUAUUUACAUUUCAACAAUGUCUACCAGGAGAGGAGACUAUUAAUUUUUAUAUAUAGUCACUCUUAGCUAGGAAUGAAUAAUGAGUAUAGCGGUGAUAUGCACUUUCCUACAUAUUGUCAUAUGAUAAUAAUAAAAAAUUAUAAAUAGGACUUUUUUUGGGGAGAAUGUAAAUAUAUUAAUCACAGAAAAAACUCUUCGGAUAUACCUGAAAGGAGGACAAAAGGCAACAGCCUAAACUAACAACUAAAAGUAGAAACCAAUAAAGCACCAAAAAGGCACGAGAAACUAAAGCCCCAUAUGUGGGUCUAAAUAUAGCUACAAACUUUAAAAACCAACAAUAAACUAAAACACCACCAAAACUGAAGACGGCUUAUGGAUGGCUGCACCCAGCAACAACACAAAAGGAAGACAUCCAUGCAGCACAGUAAAUGGUCAUAGAAACAGCAGACGAAAGGAUAGGCCCGAUCAUCAACCCUGACUAGAAUCCACACCAACAAAACAUUGCCACAACAGAGAGCAUCCACAAGAGCACAACCCAUCCAUAACCAAAAUAGCUACUACACCAAAAUAAUAUAAGAACCUAGAAACCUAGAGCAAACCCGCACACACACACAUAGACACACUCACGCAAGAUACUCAGGGCUACCAGCAGCCUAGAACACACGCAAACUCACACUCUCUCAAAUAAACUCCAGGGCUUCCAACAAUAGCCCAGAACACACUACACUAUCAUAACCGAAGGCCCCAAACAAUCGCAUAAACUCCUGGGACUAUCAGCAAUAACUCAAAAAUUCAAAUACUCUUUAAAGCAGAAAACAACAUUUAUCUUUUUUUUUUUUAUUUUUUUUAUUUUUCUUUUCUUUUUUUUCCUUUUCCUUUUUUUUCCCUUUUUUUUUCUUCCUUUUUUCUUUUUUUUUUUCACUCACAGAUUCAUAACACUAAAAGAAAGAAACCUGUAACAAAAAUAAAGCAAGACCCAACCCUAAGGCUCUAGCUGACUGAGAGGCAAAAGACCUAUUCAAAUGGUAGGGCUAGAACCCCUACCGGAAGCAAUGGCCUCAAACCCCUCAAUAAUAUAGAGCAACAUCAAGUAAUGCUAACAACAGCAAAGCAACCAACACAGCCACAGGAUCAUCCAUAGUUAGGCUCUAUACAAUUGGCAGACCAGUCUUCAACCCCAUCCUUUGUGAUCUUUGAUUCUCCAUGGGAACUUCAUCAGAUGUUUGUGAAAUUUGGAAAGAAACCAUGGAGUGAUCUAUACACUUGUAUCUUGAUGUUUCUGAUACUUCGAAUAUUUUUUCAUUUCUGUGCUUCCAAAUACAGUAUACGGUGCAUGCAAUCCCAAUCCUCUUUGCAAUAGCUUGUACCCCAGUGCUCUCGCGCUUCUUUAAUAGUCCACUUGACCGCUGCUUGAUGCUACUUAACU
rnacentral:lncRNA from 1 species